ACAAAUGGCGCACAUUGCUAACCUCUGCCUGUUGUGGUUGUGAGUCAGAUCUUCCUAUCUCAGGCAGUGGUGCAUGCAGCCUGCUUACCCAGCUCUUCCCCUCCCCAGGCAUCUACAUUCUCAUUGCUGUGGGAGCUGUGAUGAUGUUUGUAGGCUUCCUGGGGUGCUAUGGGGCCAUCCAGGAGUCCCAGUGCCUGCUGGGGACGGUGAGUAGAAAGGGCUGAAGGGCUGGGGAGCAGGGUUUCUGGCAACUUACGUGUCUUCCCCAAGGUUUUGGUUUUCCUGUUUGCUUGAUUUCCAUUGGGUCUGCAUAUGAAUAUAUAUCUUAGAAAAA
rnacentral:lncRNA from 1 species